AGAGUUUGAUCAUGGCUCAGAUUGAACGCUGGCGGCAUGCCUUACACAUGCAAGUCGAACGGCAGCACGGGGGCAACCCUGGUGGCGAGUGGCGAACGGGUGAGUAAUACAUCGGAACGUGUCCUGUAGUGGGGGAUAGCCCGGCGAAAGCCGGAUUAAUACCGCAUACGCUCUACGGAGGAAAGGGGGGGAUCUCAGGACCUCCCGCUACAGGGGCGGCCGAUGGCAGAUUAGCUAGUUGGUGGGGUAAAGGCCUACCAAGGCGACGAUCUGUAGCUGGUCUGAGAGGACGACCAGCCACACUGGGACUGAGACACGGCCCAGACUCCUACGGGAGGCAGCAGUGGGGAAUUUUGGACAAUGGGCGAAAGCCUGAUCCAGCAAUGCCGCGUGUGUGAAGAAGGCCUUCGGGUUGUAAAGCACUUUUGUCCGGAAAGAAAACCUCCGCCCUAAUAUGGUGGGGGGAUGACGGUACCGGAAGAAUAAGCACCGGCUAACUACGUGCCAGCAGCCGCGGUAAUACGUAGGGUGCAAGCGUUAAUCGGAAUUACUGGGCGUAAAGCGUGCGCAGGCGGUCCGCUAAGACAGAUGUGAAAUCCCCGGGCUUAACCUGGGAACUGCAUUUGUGACUGGCGGGCUAGAGUAUGGCAGAGGGGGGUAGAAUUCCACGUAGCAGUGAAAUGCGUAGAGAUGUGGAGGAAUACCGAUGGCGAAGGCAGCCCCCUGGGCCAAUACUGACGCUCAUGCACGAAAGCGUGGGGAGCAAACAGGAUUAGAUACCCUAGUAGUCC
rnacentral:rRNA from 1 species